rnacentral:rRNA from 1 species
GACGAACCGUGCGAACGUUGUUCGGAAUCACUGGGCUUAAAGGGCGCCUAGGCGGCUUGCCAAGUCAGGGGUGAAAUCUUUCGGCUUAACCGGAAAAGUGCCUUUGAUACUGGCAGGCUAGAGGGAGGUAGGGGCAUGCGGAACUUCCGGUGGAGCGGUGAAAUGCGUUGAUAUCGGAAGGAACGCCGGUGGCGAAAGCGGCGUGCUGGACCUCUUCUGACGCUGAGGCGCGAAAGCUAGGGGAGCAAACGGG